rnacentral:rRNA from 1 species
UACGGGGGGGGCAAGCGUUGUUCGGAAUUACUGGGCGUAAAGGGUUCGUAGGUGGCCAACUCAGUCAGACGUGAAAUCCCUCAGCUCAACUGGGGAACUGCGUCUGAUACUAGAUGGCUCGAGUGCAGGAGAGGAACGCGGAAUUCCAGGUGUAGCGGUGAAAUGUGUUGAUAUCAGGAGGAACACCCAUGGCGAAGGCAGCAAACUGGGCAUCAACUGACGCUGAGGCGCGAAAGCGUGGGUAGCAAACAGG